AUGAUGCCCAGCUUGCUGGGUGGAUUAGUGGCGAACGGGUGAGUAAUACGUGAGUAACCUGCCCUUGACUCUGGGAUAAGCCUGGGAAACUGGGUCUAAUACUGGAUACUACCUCUUGCCGCAUGGUGGGUGGUGGAAAGGGUUUUACUGGUUUUGGAUGGGCUCACGGCCUAUCAGCUUGUUGGUGGGGUAAUGGCUCACCAAGGCGACGACGGGUAGCCGGCCUGAGAGGGUGACCGGCCACACUGGGACUGAGACACGGCCCAGACUCCUACGGGAGGCAGCAGUGGGGAAUAUUGCACAAUGGGCGGAAGCCUGAUGCAGCGACGCCGCGUGAGGGAUGACGGCCUUCGGGUUGUAAACCUCUUUCAGUAGGGAAGAAGCGAGAGUGACGGUACCUGCAGAAGAAGCGCCGGCUAACUACGUGCCAGCAGCCGCGGUAAUACGUAGGGCGCAAGCGUUGUCCGGAAUUAUUGGGCGUAAAGAGCUCGUAGGCGGUUUGUCGCGUCUGCUGUGAAAGCCCGGGGCUCAACCCCGGGUCUGCAGUGGGUACGGGCAGACUAGAGUGCAGUAGGGGAGACUGGAAUUCCUGGUGUAGCGGUGAAAUGCGCAGAUAUCAGGAGGAACACCGAUGGCGAAGGCAGGUCUCUGGGCUGUUACUGACGCUGAGGAGCGAAAGCAUGGGGAGCGAACAGGAUUAGAUACCCUGGUAGUCCAUGCCGUAAACGUUGGGCACUAGGUGUGGGGGACAUUCCACGUUUUCCGCGCCGUAGCUAACGCAUUAAGUGCCCCGCCUGGGGAGUACGGCCGCAAGGCUAAAACUCAAAGGAAUUGACGGGGGCCCGCACAAGCGGCGGAGCAUGCGGAUUAAUUCGAUGCAACGCGAAGAACCUUACCAAGGCUUGACAUUCACCGGACCGCCUCAGAGAUGGGGUUUCCCUUCGGGGCUGGUGGACAGGUGGUGCAUGGUUGUCGUCAGCUCGUGUCGUGAGAUGUUGGGUUAAGUCCCGCAACGAGCGCAACCCUCGUUCUAUGUUGCCAGCACGUGAUGGUGGGGACUCAUAGGAGACUGCCGGGGUCAACUCGGAGGAAGGUGGGGAUGACGUCAAAUCAUCAUGCCCCUUAUGUCUUGGGCUUCACGCAUGCUACAAUGGCCGGUACAAAGGGUUGCGAUACUGUGAGGUGGAGCUAAUCCCAAAAAGCCGGUCUCAGUUCGGAUUGAGGUCUGCAACUCGACCUCAUGAAGUCGGAGUCGCUAGUAAUCGCAGAUCAGCAACGCUGCGGUGAAUACGUUCCCGGGCCUUGUACACACCGCCCGUCAAGUCACGAAAGUUGGUAACACCCGAAGCCGGUGGCCUAACCCCUUGUGGGAGGGAGCC
rnacentral:rRNA from 1 species